AUGAAUAUGAAAAAGAUGAAAGUUCCGAAUGUUCCCGGUGGUGGUGCUGCUUCUGCACUGAUGAAAUUGGGAGUUAUUGGUGGAAUUGGUUUGUAUGUUGCUGGGAAUAGUCUUUACAAUGUUGAAGGAGGUCACCGAGCUAUUGUUUUCAACCGUCUUGUUGGUGUUAAAGACAAGGUUUAUCCUGAAGGGACACAUUUUGUUAUUCCGUGGUUUGAGAGGUCAGUCAUCUAUGAUGUUCGUUUGCAUCCCCAUCUAGUCGUGAUCUCCAGAUGGUAA